UACGUAGGGUGCAAGCGUUAAUCGGAAUUACUGGGCGUAAAGCGUGCGCAGGCGGUUCUAUAAGACAGAUGUGAAAUCCCCGGGCUCAACCUGGGAACUGCAUUUGUGACUGUAGAGCUGGAGUACGGUAGAGGGGGAUGGAAUUCCGCGUGUAGCAGUGAAAUGCGUAGAUAUGCGGAGGAACACCGAUGGCGAAGGCAAUCCCCUGGGCCUGCACUGACGCUCAUGCACGAAAGCGUGGGGAGCAAACAGG
rnacentral:rRNA from 1 species